rnacentral:snRNA from 1 species
CUUCAGCAGCACCUACACUAAAAUUGGAACGACACAGAGAAGAUUAGCAUGGCCCCUGCUCAAAGAUGACAUGCAAAUUCAUGAAGCAUUCUAUAUUUUU